rnacentral:rRNA from 1 species
UACGUAGGGGGCAAGCGUUGUUCGGAAUUACUGGGCGUAAAGGGCGCGUAGGCGGCUGCGUAAGUCGGGAGUGAAAGCCCGGGGCUCAACCCCGGAAUGUCUCUCGAAACUGCGCGGCUCGAGUGCGGAAGAGGCAACUGGAAUUCCCAGUGUAGCGGUGAAAUGCGUAGAUAUCAGGAGGAACACCGAUGGCGAAGGCAGGUCGCUGGGACGGUACUGACGCUGAGGCGCGAAAGCGUGGGGAGCGAACAGG